UACAGGCACACGCUUGUGAGUCUGAGACUGGAUGAAGGGCAAACAUUUGACUGUGAGUCUGAGACUUGAUGAAGGAUCAUUAGACUGCUGAGUUCGAUCGGUGUCCGGGUCAUAGGGUGGAGGAUGUAGGAGCUAGGAAACGAUUUCGCUGCGAUUGGAGAUGCAGAUCCACCGGUCAGUGUGGUUUGGCCUAUUAAACGGAUAGUUCACCCAAAAAUGAAAAUUCUGUCAUUAAUUACUCACUCUCAUGUCGUUC